rnacentral:tRNA from 1 species
GCAAAGCUCAGUGGCAGAGUGCUGGUUCACUAUUGCCAGGGCCCUGGGUUCGAACCCCAGGAGCA